CGGUAGCAGGAAGUGCUUGCACUUUGCUGACGAGUGGCGGACGGGUGAGUAAUACUUAGGAACAUGCCUUUGUGUGGGGGAUAACCAUUGGAAACGAUGGCUAAUACCGCAUAAUGUCUUUGGACCAAAGAGGGCUUUCGGGCUCUCGCGCAAAGAGUGGCCUAAGUGAGAUUAGCUUGUUGGUGAGGUAAAGGCUCACCAAGGCGACGAUCUCUAGCUGUUCUGAGAGGAAGAUCAGCCACACUGGGACUGAGACACGGCCCAGACUCCUACGGGAGGCAGCAGUGGGGAAUAUUGCACAAUGGGGGCAAUCCUGAUGCAGCCAUGCCGCGUGUGUGAAGAAGGCCUUCGGGUUGUAAAGCACUUUCAGUUGUGAGGAAAGGUUGGUGGUUAAUACCCAUCAGCUGUGACGUUAGCAACAGAAGAAGCACCGGCUAACUCCGUGCCAGCAGCCGCGGUAAUACGGAGGGUGCGAGCGUUAAUCGGAAUUACUGGGCGUAAAGCGCACGCAGGCGGUUAUAUAAGCUAGAUGUGAAAGCCCCGGGCUCAACCUGGGAAUAGCAUUUAGAACUGUAUGACUAGAGUCUUGGAGAGGGGAGUGGAAUUCCAGGUGUAGCG
rnacentral:rRNA from 1 species